rnacentral:lncRNA from 1 species
CCGCCAUAUGUCUACACAUAUAAGGCGUCUACAAGAAAAGCGGAAGUAAAAGCAAGAGAUGGAACAAAUGAAAGAAGUGAAGUAACAAGCAACUACUGAUAUCAGAGCGAGUAAAGUUCUAACAUCUAUACUAAUAGUAAUAGAACAUAACUAAUACAAAAAGGUAGACAUAAGUUACACAAUAUCAGCCUCUAAUACAAAAAUGGUGGUCUCUAGUACACUGGUAAAACUCUCAACCUCUCCAAAAUAAAGUACAACGAGAGGUGGACCACCUAGCGAGUCGUCCUCGUAGGAGCUAGCUCGAAGC